AAGAGCGUAGCUCGCAUGCUUAACAUGCAAGUCGAACGGCAGCGCGGGGCAACCUGGCGGCGAGUGGCGAACGGGUGAGUAAUAUAUCGGAACGUACCCAAGAGUGGGGGAUAACGUAUCGAAAGUUACGCUAAUACCGCAUACGAUCAAAGGAUGAAAGCAGGGGACCGCAAGGCCUUGUGCUCCUGGAGCGGCCGAUAUCUGAUUAGCUAGUUGGUGAGGUAAAGGCUCACCAAGGCGACGAUCAGUAGCUGGUCUGAGAGGACGACCAGCCACACUGGAACUGAGACACGGUCCAGACUCCUACGGGAGGCAACACUGGGGAAUUUUGGACAAUGGGCGCAAGCCUGAUCCAGCAAUGCCGCGUGAGUGAAGAAGGCCUUCAGGUUGUAAAGCUCUUUUGUCAGGGAAGAAACGGCAGUGGCUAAUAUCCAUUGCUAAUGACGGUACCUGAAGAAUAAGCACCGGCUAACUACGUGCCAGCAGCCGCGGUAAUACGUAGGGUGCAAGCGUUAAUCGUGAAUUACUGGGCGUAAAGCGUGCGCAGGCGGUUUUGUAAGUCUGUCGUGAAAGCCCCGGGCUCAACCUGGGAAUUGCUAUGGAGACUGCAAGGCUUGAAUCUGGCAGAGGGGGGUAGAAUUCCACGUGUAGCAGUGAAAUGCGUAGAGAUGUGGAGGAACACCGAUGGCGAAGAGCAGCCCCCUGGGUCAAGAUUGACGCUCAUGCACGAAAGCGUGGGGAGCAAACAGGAUUAGAUACCCUGGUAGUCCACGCCAUAAAUGAUGUCUACUAGUUGUCGGGUUUUAAUUAACUUGGUAACGCAGGUAACGCGUGAAGUAGACCGCGUGGGGAGUACGGUCGCAAGAUUAAAACUCAAAGGAAUUGACGGGGACCCGCACAAGCGGUGGAUGAUGUGGAUUAAUUCGAUGCAACGCGAAAAACCUUACCUACCCUUGACAUGUCAGGAAUCGUGGAGAGAUCUGGGCGUGCCCGAAAGGGAACCUGAACACAGGUGUUGCAUGGCUGUGGUCAGCUCGUGUGGUGAGAUGUUGGGUUAAGUCCCGCAACGAGCGCAACCCUUGUCAUUAGUUGAUACGCAAGAGCACUCUAAUGAGACUGCCGGUGACAAACCGGAGGAAGGUGGGGAUGACGUCAAGUCCUCAUGGCCCUUAUGGGUAGGGCUUCACACGUCAUACAAUGGUACAUACAGAGGGCCGCCAACCCGCGAGGGGGAGCUAAUCCCAGAAAGUGUAUCGUAGUCCGGAUCGUAGUCUGCAACUCGACUACGUGAAGUUGGAAUCGCUAGUAAUCGCGGAUCAGCAUGUCGUCGGAAUUCCGCCCC
rnacentral:rRNA from 1 species